rnacentral:rRNA from 1 species
GAUCCUGGCUCAGGAUGAACGCUAGCUACAGGCUUAACACAUGCAAGUCGAGGGGCAGCAUGAACUUAGCUUGCUAAGUUUGAUGGCGACCGGCGCACGGGUGAGUAACACGUAUCCAACCUUCCGUUUACUCAGGGAUAGCCUUUCGAAAGAAAGAUUAAUACCUGAUAGUAUGGUGAGAUUGCAUGAUAGCACCAUUAAAGAUUUAUUGGUAACGA